CGUGGGGAACCGUAGCCCCUAACGUACUGGGAGUAACCAUUUGGUAAACAAGGUGGCUAAUAACCGGAGUAAUAAAGCAGAUCGCAUGAUCAGCUUUUGAAAGGCGGCGUAAGCUGUCGCUAAGGGAUGGCCCCGCGGUGCAUUAGCUAGUUGGUAAGGUAACGGCUUACCAAGGCGACGAUGCAUAGCCGAGUUGAGAGACUGAUCGGCCACAUUGGGACUGAGACACGGCCCAAACUCCUACGGGAGGCAGCAGUAGGGAAUCUUCCACAAUGGACGCAAGUCUGAUGGAGCAACGCCGCGUGAGUGAAGAAGGUUUUCGGAUCGUAAAGCUCUGUUGUUGGUGAAGAAGGAUGUGAGUAGCAACUGGCUCAUAUUUGACGGUAAUCAACCAGAAAGUCACGGCUAACUACGUG
rnacentral:rRNA from 1 species